rnacentral:tRNA from 1 species
CCAUAAACGUGCGAACUGUAUAGAGCACCUAAGUAAGGUCAUCCUAGGUCGGUCGAGAUGAAUAUGAUUGGUUUCUGAACUAUCGAGGGGCCGUAUUGUAUGGGCUAUUAGCUCAGGUGGUUAGAGCGCACCCCUGAUAAGGGUGAGGUCCCUGGUUCGAGUCCAGGAUGGCCCACUCGUGGGGGUAUAGCUCAGUUGGUAGAGCGCCUGCUUUGCAAGCAGGAUGUCAGCGGUUCGAGUCCGCUUACCUCCACCAGAUAUAAAAGCAAGAUCAAUAAAAAUUCAGCACUCUUUUUAGAUUUCCUUUGCGACACGUUAAAACGCUAGAGGAAGUUGUUGAAAGACUGCUGGAUUUAAUGGCCAGCAAGAACCUUGAAAACUGCAUAGAGAAAAGAGAUGUCAGGUAGUAACUGAUAAAGCAAGUAACUAUUGUUGAUUGCUUUAUCGAAAACAGACACCAAUGUAAGUAAAUGGUCAAGCUAUAAAGGGCUUACGGCGGAUACCUAGGCACACAGAGA